ACGAACGCUGGCGGCGUGCUUAACACAUGCAAGUCGAACGGAAAGGCCCUGCUUUUGUGGGGUGCUCGAGUGGCGAACGGGUGAGUAACACGUGAGUAACCUGCCCUUGACUUUGGGAUAACUUCAGGAAACUGGGGCUAAUACCGGAUAGGAGCUCCUGCUGCAUGGUGGGGGUUGGAAAGUUUCGGCGGUUGGGGAUGGACUCGCGGCUUAUCAGCUUGUUGGUGGGGUAGUGGCUUACCAAGGCUUUGACGGGUAGCCGGCCUGAGAGGGUGACCGGCCACAUUGGGACUGAGAUACGGCCCAGACUCCUACGGGAGGCAGCAGUGGGGAAUAUUGCACAAUGGGCGGAGGCCUGAUGCAGCAACGCCGCGUGCGGGAUGACGGCCUUCGGGUUGUAAACCGCUUUCGCCUGUGACGAAGCGUGAGUGACGGUAAUGGGUAAAGAAGCACCGGCUAACUACGUGCCAGCAGCCGCGGUGAUACGUAGGGUGCGAGCGUUGUCCGGAUUUAUUGGGCGUAAAGGGCUCGUAGGUGGUUGAUCGCGUCGGAAGUGUAAUCUUGGGGCUUAACCCUGAGCGUGCUUUCGAUACGGGUUGACUUGAGGAAGGUAGGGGAGAAUGGAAUUCCUGGUGGAGCGGUGGAAUGCGCAGAUAUCAGGAGGAACACCAGUGGCGAAGGCGGUUCUCUGGGCCUUUCCUGACGCUGAGGAGCGAAAGCGUGGGGAGCGAACAGGCUUAGAUACCCUGGUAGUCCACGCUGUAAACGGUGGGUACUAGGUGUGGGGUCCAUUCCACGGGUUCCGUGCCGUAGCUAACGCUUUAAGUACCCCGCCUGGGGAGUACGGCCGCAAGGCUAAAACUCAAAGGAAUUGACGGGGCCCCGCACAAGCGGCGGAGCAUGCGGAUUAAUUCGAUGCAACGCGUAGAACCUUACCUGGGUUUGACAUGGAUCGGGAGUGCUCAGAGAUGGGUGUGCCUCUUUUGGGGUCGGUUCACAGGUGGUGCAUGGCUGUCGUCAGCUCGUGUCGUGAGAUGUUGGGUUAAGUCCCGCAACGAGCGCAACCCUUGUUCACUGUUGCCAGCACGUUAUGGUGGGGACUCAGUGGAGACCGCCGGGGUCAACUCGGAGGAAGGUGGGGAUGACGUCAAGUCAUCAUGCCCCUUAUGUCCAGGGCUUCACGCAUGCUACAAUGGCUGGUACAGAGAGUGGCGAGCCUGUGAGGGUGAGCGAAUCUCGGAAAGCCGGUCUCAGUUCGGAUUGGGGUCUGCAACUCGACCUCAUGAAGUCGGAGUCGCUAGUAAUCGCAGAUCAGCAACGCUGCGGUGAAUACGUUCCCGGGGCUUGUACACACCGCCCGUCAAGUCAUGAAAGUUGGUAACACCCGAAGCCGGUGGCCUAACCGUUGUGGGGGAGCCGUCGAAGGUGGGAC
rnacentral:rRNA from 1 species